CAGUAGCCGCGGUAAAACGUAGGUGGCAAGCGUUGUCCGGAAUUAUUGGGCGUAAAGCGCGCGCAGGCGGAUAGGUCAGUCUGUCUUAAAAGUUCGGGGCUUAACCCCGUGAUGGGAUGGAAACUGCCAAUCUAGAGUAUCGGAGAGGAAAGUGGAAUUCCUAGUGCAGCGGUGAAAUGCGUAGAUAUUAGGAAGGACACCAGUGGCGAAGGCGACUUUCUGGACGAAAACUGACGCUGAGGCGCGAAAGCCAGGGGAGCGAACGGGAUUAGAUACCCCCGUAGUCCCUGUCUCUUAUACC
rnacentral:rRNA from 1 species